GAGUGACGUGUCGGUCGGCGGACCCACGGGGAGUCGCGGUGGAAAGCAGUGGCCCGCUGACUCCCGUCAUGUGACAAGAAGCGGAAACUACGCUGAAAUAGGCCCUUGCUCCAAGUCCCAGUAACUCGGAAUGCGGAGCCGCUGGUCUCCCUCUUUUUUAAGAGUGCACUGGUACCAUCAUAGCUCACUGCUGCCUCAUACUCCUGGAUUCAAGCAGUCCUCCCUCCUUGGUCUCCCAAAGUGCUGAGAUUACAGGUGUCAGCCACUUCCCCGGGCCAUAAAGGUGUGGAGCCCAGGACACCAGACAGAAGUACACAUAAAGUCUGACUCUUUCCAGCAUUACCAGGUGGAAUGGCUAACUACACAUGUCCUCAGACU